rnacentral:rRNA from 1 species
AUUGAACGCUGGCGGCAGGCCUAACACAUGCAAGUCGAGCGAGCGGCGGACGGGUGAGUGAUGUGUGGGAAACUGCCUGAUGGAGGGGGAUAACUACUGGAAACGGUAGCUAAUACCGCAUACCAUCAGAUGUGCCCAGAUGUGAGUAGCUAGUAGGUGGGGUAACGGCUCACCUAGGCGACGAUCUCUAGCGGGUCUGAGAGGAUGACCAGCCACACUGGAACUGCGACACGGUGCAGACUCCUACGGGAGGCAGCAGUGGGGAAUAUUGCACAAUGGGCGCAAGCCUGAUACAGCCAUGCCGCGUGUGUGAAGAAGGCCUUCGGGUUGUAAAGCACUUUCAGCGGGGAGGCGUUACCCGCAGAAGAAGCACCGGCUAACUCCGUGCCAGCAGCCGCGGUAAUAC